GCCACCCUAGCUCAAUGGUAGAGCACCUGUUUUGUAAACAGGCGGUUCGGGGUUCGAUCCCCCGGGGUGGCU
rnacentral:tRNA from 1 species